GGAUGUGAGGGCGAUCUAGCUGCGACAUCUGUCACCCCAUUGAUCGCCAGGGUUUAUUUGGCUGAUCUGGCUGGCUAGGUGGGUGUCCUCUUCCUCCCUUACUGCUCCAUGUGUAUCCUCCCAGAAGCUGCGCGCUGGGUCAAAGAGGACGGCCUUCCCCGAAUAGAAAUGGACCAGUCUUCGGUCGAGGGUAUGAGAGUAGCUGCGCUCCCCUGCUAGAACCUCCUAACAAGCUCUCAAGAUCCAUCUGAAUUGUAGGUCAAUAAAACUGUUUUUAAAGCACUGUGGUGACAUACUU
rnacentral:snRNA from 1 species